AGCCUCCUGGUGCUUGCCGUUGGCUGUGUUCAUAAACUGACUCUACUGAAAGAGGAGGCAGAGUGAACCUGCCCAUACAUAUCCCAGCCUAGGCCCUUUGCCUGGUCUGUAUUGUGAAGGGGGGAAACGG
ensembl:snoRNA